rnacentral:rRNA from 1 species
UACGAAGGGGGCUAGCGUUGCUCGGAAUCACUGGGCGUAAAGCGCACGUAGGCGGACUCUUAAGUCGGUGGUGAAAUCCUGGAGCUCAACUCCAGAACUGCCUUCGAUACUGAGAGUCUCGAGUCCGAGAGAGGUGAGUGGAACUGCGAGUGUAGAGGUGAAAUUCGUAGAUAUUCGCAAGAACACCAGUGGCGAAGGCGGC